UACCGCUGCGAGGUGUCUACAGACGCGCCAGACUUCCAUACGGAGGUGGUGUCGGCUCAUCUACAAGUCCUAGGUAAGUCCAGGGGGAUCGUGUGACGUUAAUCAGUGUAGACAAGUCCCUCACCAGCAAGUACCGCUGCGAGGUGUCUACUGACGCGCCAGACUUCCAUACGGAGGUGGUGUCGGCUCAUCUACAAGUCCUAGACACCCCUGUAGGACUACCCCAAGUGGAGGUGGAGAAGAUGAGCUACGCGGUAGGAGAUAUCCUGAGAGCCAACUGCACUUCACCUUGGAGCACUGUGCCGCUCAACCUCACCUGGCUCAUCAAUGGUGUCAAGGUCAACGAGAGUGACUAUGUAGACCUGGCAGAUGAUGAGACUACUAACAGCACCACAGUAGCACUACACACCGAGGUCUGCAAGGGUGGU